AGGUCAUUGCCCUAGUACGGCGAGUGAGCGGCAACAGCUCAAAUUUGAAAUCUGGCGUCUUUGGCGUCCGAGUUGUAAUUUGCAGAGGGCGCUUUGGCAUUGGCAGCGGUCCAAGUUCCUUGGAACAGGACGUCACAGAGGGUGAGAAUCCCGUACGUGGUCGCUAGCCUUUACCGUGUAAAGCCCCUUCGACGAGUCGAGUUGUUUGGGAAUGCAGCUCUAAAUGGGAGGUAAAUUUCUUCUAAAGCUAAAUACUGGCCAGAGACCGAUAGCGCACAAGUAGAGUGAUCGAAAGAUGAAAAGCACUUUGGAAAGAGAGUUAAAAAGCACGUGAAAUUGUUGAAAGGGAAGCGCUUGCAGCCAGACUUGCCUGUAGUUGCUCAUCCGGGUUUCUACCCGGUGCACUCUUCUAUAGGCAGGCCAGCAUCGGGGUGGGCGGUUGGAUAAAGGUCUCUGUCAUGUACCUCCUUUCGGGGAGAACUUAUAGGGGAGACGACAUGCAACCAGCCCGGACUGAGGUCCGCGCAUCUGCUAGGAUGCUGGCGUAAUGGCUGUAACGGGCCCGUCUUGAAACACGGGACCAAGGAGUCUAACAUCUAUGCGAGUGUUUGGGUGUCAAGCCCGAGCGCGUAAUGAAAGUGAACGGAGGGUGGGAACCUUUCG
rnacentral:rRNA from 1 species